rnacentral:rRNA from 1 species
CAGUAGCCGCGGUAAUACGGAGGGUGCAAGCGUUAAUCGGAAUUACUGGGCGUAAAGCGCACGCAGGCGGUCUGUCAAGUCAGAUGUGAAAUCCCCGGGCUUAACCUGGGAACUGCAUUUGAAACUGGCAGGCUAGAGUCUUGUAGAGGGGGGUAGAAUUCCAGGUGUAGCGGUGAAAUGCGUAGAGAUCUGGAGGAAUACCGAUGGCGAAGGCAGCCAUCUGGCCUAAUACUGACGCUGAGGUACGAAAGCAUGGGGAGCAAACAGGAUUAGAUACCCCGGUAGUCCCUGUCUCUUAUAC